CUACGUAGGGGGCGAGCGUUGUCCGGAAUGAUUGGGCGUAAAGGGCGCGUAGGCGGCCCGGUAAGUCUGGAGUGAAAGUCCUGUUUUUAAGAUGGGAAUUGCUUUGGAUACUGUCGGGCUUGAGUGCAGGAGAGGUAAGUGGAAUUCCCAGUGUAGCGGUGAAAUGCGUAGAGAUUGGGAGGAACACCAGUGGCGAAGGCGACUUACUGGACGGUAACUGACGCUGAGGCGCGAAAGUGUGGGGAGCAAACAGGAUUAGAUACCCUGGUAGUCCACGCUGUAGACGAUGAAUACUAGGUGUGGGGGGACUGACCCCCUCCGUGCCGCAGUUAACACAAUAAGUAUUCCACCUGGGGAGUACGAUCGCAAGAUUGAAACUCAAAUGAAUUGACGGGG
rnacentral:rRNA from 1 species